AUUGAACGCUGGCGGCAGGCCUAACACAUGCAAGUCGAGCGGUAGAGAGGUGCUUGCACCUCUUGAGAGCGGCGGACGGGUGAGUAAUGCCUAGGAAUCUGCCUGGUAGUGGGGGAUAACGCUCGGAAACGGACGCUAAUACCGCAUACGUCCUACGGGAGAAAGCAGGGGACCUUCGGGCCUUGCGCUAUCAGAUGAGCCUAGGUCGGAUUAGCUAGUUGGUGAGGUAAUGGCUCACCAAGGCGACGAUCCGUAACUGGUCUGAGAGGAUGAUCAGUCACACUGGAACUGAGACACGGUCCAGACUCCUACGGGAGGCAGCAGUGGGGAAUAUUGGACAAUGGGCGAAAGCCUGAUCCAGCCAUGCCGCGUGUGUGGAGAAGGUCUUCGGAUUGUAAAGCACUUUAAGUUGGGAGGAAGGGUCGUUACCUAAUACGUGACGAUUUUGACGUUACCGACAGAAUAAGCACCGGCUAACUCUGUGCCAGCAGCCGCGGUAAGAC
rnacentral:rRNA from 1 species